rnacentral:rRNA from 1 species
GAUGAACGCUAGCUACAGGCUUAACACAUGCAAGUCGAGAAACCGGCGCACGGGUGAUUAACACGUAUCCAACCUGCCCUUUACUCGGGGAUAGACUUUCGCAAGAAAGAUUACUACCCGAUAUGAAGGAUGGGGAUGCGUUCCAUUAGGUUGUUUGUGAGGUAACGGCUCACCAAGCCUUCGAUGGAUAGGGGUUCGGAGAGGAAGGUCCCCCACAUUGGAACUGCGACACGGUCCAAACUCCUACGGGAGGCAGCAGUGAGGAAUAUUGGUCAAUGAGCGCUAGCCUGCACCAGCCAAGUAGCGUGAAGGAUGAAGGCUUAUGGGUCGUAAACUUCUUUUAUAUAAGAAUAUGUAUUAUAUGAAUAAGGAUCGGCUAACUCCGUGCCAGCCGCCGCGGUAAUUC